CUACUUGAAACAUCCAAAAAAUACCAUUCACUCGACUGUACAAUUAAAUUGCAGAUCUAACUCACAGUCACAGGGCAGGUCUCCUCCAGUAUCCCCCUGUCCAUCAAUUAAAGAGAGAGAGAGAGAGAGAGAGAGAGAGAGAGAGAGAGAGAGAGAGAGAGAGAGAGUUUCGGCAUAUCACGUGACAUGUUUACAACUAUGAUAUAACUGAAAGUUAUGCGUAGAACGCCAACACUGCAUUGACCACGCAUUUGGGAAGAUGAGAGUAGAAACUUAUUGGAUAGGGAUAAUAUUACUCCUUUCGAUCAUCAGUUUAGGUGCAGGCGGAUCCAUUGUGAUUAUUUGUGAAAAUCACAAUGCCUACCUACGUUGCCCGCCUUCCCACACAAUUCGAAUUCUAAGUGCAAACUAUGGAAGAACCGAGAGAUAUAUUUGCCCAGCUCGCUCUCGAUGGAUGAGGGAUUUCAACUGCCACUCGUCGAAUUCGCAGGUGAAGGUCAUGUCAAGAUGCGACAGCCACACUGAAUGUUUCUUAGAAGCGAAGAACAGUGUGUUUGGAGAUCCGUGCGUUGGAACUUACAAGUAUCUGUAUGUGGAAUUUUUCUGUGAGGAAACCACAGCCGUCCCCGCGUGAAGAUAGAUCGAUAUAUGCAACCUUCUUCCGACACAAACACUUACACCUUUGCAAUAUUUUGACUAUGUGUCAUUUAUAUGCUUAAUCAAGUAAAAAUUUCAGAAAUCA